AUGUUUCCCAUGGUAAUAAAGCCCUUAUAUUGGAUUGAGACAGACAGAGACAAAGAGAGACAGAGAGAGAAAGACAGACAGAAAGAGAGAGAGAGACAGACAGAGAAGAAAAAGUGUGUGCGUGAGGUAGAGGAACACAGUGAGGCUGUCUGUCUGGGUACCUGUCUGUCUGGAUACCUGUCUGUCUCUCUGGGUACCUGUCUGUCUGUGUGUCUGUCUGGGUACCUGUCUGUCUGUGUGUCUGUCUGGGUACCUGUCUGUCUGGGUACCUGUCUGUCUGUCUGUCUGUCUGUCUGUCUGGGUGUGUGUGUGUGUCUGUCUGUGUGUCUGUCUGGGUACCUGUUUGUCUGGGUACCUGUCUGUCUGUCUGUCUGUCUGUCUGGGUGUGUGUCUGUGUGUGUGUCUGUCUGGGUCUGGCUGUGUGUCUGUCUGGGUACCCGGCUGGCUGUCUUGGUGGGUGACUGUCUGGGUUGGUGGCUGUCUGUCUGGGUGGAUGUCUGGCUGUCUGUCUGGCUGUGUGUGUGUCUGGCUGUCUUGGUGGAUGGAUGUCUGGCUGGCUGUGUCUGUCUGGGUGGGUGUCUGUCUGUGUGUGUGUGUGUGUGUCUGGCUGUCUUGGUGGAUGGAUGUGUGGCUGGCUGUAUGGGUACGUGUCUCUCUGUCUGGGUGUCUGUCUGGCUGUGUGUGUGUGUGUGUGUCUGGCUGUCUCUCUGUCUGGGUGGGUGUCUGGCUGUGUGUGUGUGUGUGUGUCUGGCUGUCUCUCUGUCUGGGUGGGUGUCUGGCUGUGUGUGUGUGUGUGUGUCUGGCUGUCUCUCUGUCUGGGUGGGUGUCUGGCUGUGUGUGUGUGUGUGUGUCUGGCUGUCUUGGUGGAUGGAUGUCUGGCUGUCUGGGUACGUGUCUGGCUGUCUGUCUGGCUGUGUGUGUGUGUGUGUCUGGCUGUCUUGGUGGAUGGAUGUGUGUCUGGCUGUAUGGGUAGGUGUCUGGCUGUGUGUGUGUGUGUGUGUCUGGCUGUCUUGGUGGAUGGAUGUGUGGCUGGCUGUAUGGGUACGUGUCUCUCUGUCUGGGUGUCUGUCUGGCUGUGUGUGUGUGUGUCUGGCUGUCUUGGUGGAUGGAUGUGUGUCUGGCUGUAUGGGUACGUGUCUGGCUGUCUGUCUGGCUGUGUGUGUGUGUGUGUCUGGCUGUCUUGGUGGAUGGAUGUGUGUCUGGCUGUAUGGGUACGUGUCUGUCUGGCUGUGUGUGUGUGUGUCUGGCUGUCUUGGUGGAUGGAUGUGUGGCUGGCUGUAUGGGUACGUGUCUGGCUGGCUGUCUCUCUGUCUGGCUGGGUGGUCUCAGAUCGUAACAGGGUAA
rnacentral:lncRNA from 8 species